UACAGAGGGGGCAAGCGUUGUCCGGAUUUAUUGGGCGUAAAGAGCUCGUAGGCGGUUUGGUAAGUUGGAUGUGAAAUCUCCAGGCUCAACUUGGAGGGGUCAUUCGAUACUGCCAUGACUAGAGUUCGGUAGGGGAGUGUGGAAUUCCUGGUGGAGCGGUGAAAUGCGCAGAUAUCAGGAGGAACACCGGUGGCGAAGGCGGCAUCCUGGACCGGUAUUGACGCUGAGGCGCGAAAGCCAGGGGAGCAAACGGG
rnacentral:rRNA from 1 species